UUGGUUGAUUCUUCCAGUAGUCAUAUGUUUGUCUCAAAGAUUAAGCCAUGCAUGUGUAAGUACGAACUAAUUCAGACUGUGAAACUAUGAAUGGUUCAUUAAAUCAGUUAUAGUUUGUUUGAUGGUAUCUGCUGCUCGGAUAACCGUAGUAAUUCUAGAGCUAAUACGUGAAACCAACCCCGACUUCUAUAAGGGAUGCAUUUAUUAGAUAAAAGGUCGACAUGGGCUCUGCCUGUUACUUCGAUGAUUCAUGAUAACUCGACAGAUGGCAUGGCGAUCGUGGCAGCGGCGCAUCAUUCAAAUUUAUGCACUAUCAACUUUCGAUGGUAGGAUAGUGGCCUACCAUGGAGGUGACGGGUGACGGAGAAUUAGGGUUCGAUUCCGGAGAGGAAGCCUAAGAAACGACUACCGCAUCCAAGGAAGGCAGCAGUUGUAAAUUACCCAAUCCUGACACAGGGAGGUAAUGACAAUGAAUAACAAUAUCGGGCUCUACAUAGAUAUUUAAAGACAGGGACUUGAACCUCAAGCAGAGAUGGAUGGAGAUGAUUAAGGACUAUGAUUAUGACAAUGAAUAUU
rnacentral:ncRNA from 1 species